UACGGAGGGGCUAGCGUUGUUCGGAAUUACUGGGCGUAAAGCGCACGUAGGCGGAUCAGUAAGUUAGAGGUGAAAGCCCAGGGCUCAACCCUGGAACUGCCUUUGAUACUGCUGGUCUGGAGGUCGAGAGAGGUGAGUGGAAUUCCGAGUGUAGAGGUGAAAUUCGUAGAUAUUCGGAGGAACACCAGUGGCGAAGGCGGCUCACUGGCUCGAUACUGACGCUGAGGUGCGAAAGCGUGGGGAGCAAACAGG
rnacentral:rRNA from 1 species